UUCUUUUUUUACCCAGCAUGCAACACCAUUUGUUCCAUGAGCUUUAUUAUAACACUGAGAAAAAGUUAUGACACAACUCAUUAUUUACCCGUUCAUUACAUGCACCAACCAACCCAAAUUAGCAUUGCAGUGCACUGCAUUUCAACACUCAGGCACUGGUGUUUGCCAUCCCCAGUAGGAAAUCGGACGCUCAUCUGGUUGACCUGCCUGCCUUUCCUCUCCUUGCUUUCUCUAUCUCUUUGUACAAAAUGCACUACCUUGUCGAAGAGGAAGCGUUAUCCUCUUUGAGGGUUAAAAUAUUUGUCGAGCAAUAAUUUUUCUGUUCCAGCAACUACAGCAUAAACUGGAAAACGAAACCGAUUCUGAUUUGUUCACUGUGCUCACAGAGCGCGGCACCAGGUGUCACCGUGCGCUGCGCUUCCGAUCUCGAAGGAUCUAGCAAGCAGUUGAUGCAGCUAAAAAUGUGUGGUCAGUCGGCUUUUAUCGUUUUUUGUUGUGCAGAUUGUUAGUUCACCGUAAAUAUGUCUUGAUUUGUACUCAAGAGUGGAGCAAGUCCCCAAGGAACAGAGAUUGACGCAUCGGGGGAGCGAAGAACAGAAGCGAUGGAUGGUUACGCUGCUUGACUCUCGGCAUGUUCAAGAUGGCGAAGUUCCGAAUUCUUCGCUGUGUGAUGUGUGAUGUGCGCGUGUGUGCUCGUGAUGUGCCGUCAUAGCGCGGGCAUAUUUGUGCUGAAUGUGUUUCAUUUCGUCAACAAAACUCCACGCAAUCGCAUCGAAGAAGUCGUGUGUUCAGGAGCACGUAUGUGUUUGGAUGCGGAUAGCCUGCCCUCAACGGUAGUGCUGAGCUCAGCCGUGUUGGCUCAGCGCUACCCCCUCAACGGAUGUCAACAGUCUACGCACUCGUAACUUGCUCACGAGACCUCCUUGCUGUUGCAACUCUGAGGAUGGUUGCUUCAAAUGUGUAGGAACAAACAGCAGUGCCAGCGCUAUAUGUGCAUGAGGACGACGAGAGGGUUCCGCUCACGCCCUGAGUGGUGUAUUCUGACCACAACCGGGAACAGGCAGAGUUUCUCCACCUUUUUCUCGACAAGGAGCAGCUGGUCAUGGUCAAAAAUGCGGAGGAAGGGGUCGUCGCAAUCAUGAGUGCAUUUUUUGUAUUGAACAUAGUAUACGGGCCUAAAUCCUUCAACGUCAGUACAGUACUGGAAUGAUUGUUUUUUGGUUUGAAUGUAACAACGCCAAGAGUGGUUGUUACAAAGUUUGUGAACAGAGUUGUGCAGGCAAUGCGACGCCGAGGUUUAUGUACAUUAACAUAUGAAUGCUAGCCUGACAAUUUUGUGCAAUAGCUUGAGCAACAGUUUUGUGCAAUUUUUAAUGUAACAUUUUCUUUCCUUUUGAUCACGAUAAUAGCAUGAUCCAGUAACUUUUUCCGCUGCCUUUGUGCCAACCACUUUAUCUAUAGACUGCACCUUUUUUGUUUUUAUGACUUGGCAGACAAUGUAAUAGUGCCCAGGUGUAGGUCAGCAAAAAAGAAAUGUGGUGUACUGUAGUCUGCAUGGAUUUAUCAAAAAGAUUGCUGGGUGUUGCAAUGUACUGAAAAGAAGAGUACAAUACGUCUCGUUCUUAUUAGGUCUGCCUUAACAUUAAUGUAUGUGAAACAAUUGUCAGCAGUCUUGUACAAAUAUUACAGCUUGCUUGCUUUUCCUAAACAUUGUUUGUUUAUGAAACUUAUUUGCCAGCCUGGAGUAAGGGAACAAUGUCCCAGCUUAAAAGUACUGCAUGGUGCAACUGUAACGUUUGUAUUCACUUAUAGGGCACAUGAACACUGGCAGCCAGUGCUUAACAUUUCGUAACAUGCUGCUUGGUUAAUAUUUUAUAUUUUGCGCAUGUGUUGCAUAGUGCAACCUGCCAAAUACAAGUGAAAGUUUUUGUGGUUUGACUGUCAUUUUAUGAACAAAGUUUUAUGUUUAUUGUGUAUAACUUUAUUUAGCAGCUGACAGCUGACAUACUAGUCAAAACGCAACCGAAUAUCCAGUUUUUACAAGGUUUUACAAGGUUUUUAGCAGUUCUGGGUUAAAAAUGUUGCGUGGAAUAAGUAUCAGGCUGAAGUACUCUUGCUCGUUUAUUUUUUGUACAUGUGAUUCCAAGUGCCUAAUCUGAGUGAAAGCUAGUCUCUAUAUGCUAUAUAUACUGGUGUUUCUACAAAGAACGUACUAUUUAAAAAUAGCCGUUCUGAAGUAUAAGGACGGCUCUUUAGAAGACAUGCUGUCAGCGGUGCCGACCAUGGGGGUAUGGGUGAUAUCUGGUAAUUGCUAAUUAGUUGCUAAUUAGCAAAAAUGAAAUAUAUUUUACUUUCAGCGGACUCAUUGUAACUGGUAAAUUAAAGCAAGCUCUCUGCACAAGACAUGUGAACUUUUGGAUCUGGAAAAAUGCGAUUACCCGCAGAACUGCGGCGUGAUGAAUUUUGGCUGUCAGAGCACGCCAAAAUGAAACUGGGAUGCUGCUGAAACUCAACGCAACAUUCUGCUUACGUCGCCCAGCAGCGGGCAACCAGAGUGCUGCACGGAGCCCCAUUGCUGCCCAUUGUUGGGUGAUGUGAGCAGAACGUCCCCUCGAAGGGCGCGUCUUUGUGCUCACUGCAGCCUCGGGUACAGUUUCGCGUGCUGUGAUAGCCAAAUUCAUCGUGUCACAGUUGUGUGGGUAAUUGCAUUUUUUCCAGAUUCUGAAGUCUAUUUCAUUUCAUUUCAUUUUAAUACCUUAAAGACCCCUUGACAGGGGUAUUACAUAAGGGGUGGGAAUACAUUAGUACAUAAUUUGUAUAAUACAGAAAUGAAUACGCAAACAAUAAAAGAACAAAAGAAAACAACAUGAGAUAAAGUGUUACAUACGUCAGCGCAAACACAUAGACCUAAAUAAUACAAACUAAAUUGCACGAGCAUAUAAGUAUGUUAGCACAAGUCACUUUCAUUGUGAAAAGUGCGCAGUGAUACUCUCCAUAAACGUACGAGGGCAAGUGAUGGCGGCGAUUUGGUGGGGCAGGUUGUUCCAAUCUGUAGCGGCAAGGCAAAAGAAUGAGGCGGAAAAGGUGACAGUGCGCAUGCGAGG